rnacentral:tRNA from 1 species
CGGCAUGUAGCUCAGGCAGGAGAGCACCGGGCUCUGGACCCGGAGGGCGCGGGGGCGGAGCCCGCCAUGCCGG